GUAGACCACUUUAGUCAACACAGAUCUCUCCGCUCCCCCUCUCUCGCGCGGUCCGUCUCUCUCUCUCUACGAACAUAUAAGACGCAGAUACGAACAGACUUAAGCUUUUCUGUUCGAUGUUAAAACCCUAGAUUUAUACUCCCAUCUUCCUAACCUCUUCUAUCAGCUCACUUUGUUCUGAUCAGAACUGGACUUUGUGUACUCGUAUCUACAGGUUAACAAAGUGAGCUGCAAAAAUAGGUGUAUUUCAUAGCCGUCGAUUUCGAGGUUGGUUUCUCAUGUAAUGUGACGCGAGUUGAUGCAUAUCUAAAUAUGGGGACUAGUACUAAUAUUCUUCUGCUCACUCUCUUUAUGACCCUAAUCGUCAUUGAAUGUGCUCGUACUGGUUUAGAGGUAAAAGGAACUGAAAGCACUGGCUUAGAUCCGCAAAGUCCCUUUACUUCAACCGAAAAAAGUAAUUCCAAUGAGACUAUGGGUGGAUUGAACUCAGUUGGAAAUCCUAACAAGUUUGCCCAAGAAAAGAAGGGUCAAGAUCUAAUGGGUGGAUCGAAAAAGGGUGUUGAGAGUAGUAAUUUGAGUAGCAGCAACUCAAGUGAAGAGUUGGGGUUGAAAGACGACGACAAAGUGCGGACGGAUAAGGAUGGUUCAGUGAAUGAGGGUGAGAAGAAAGGGAAUUUGGGUAAAGGAUCAGAAUCUAGAAAAGUACACGACGAGGGGAUAUCACUGCCGGUGGGGAAGAAGAGUUCUCGUGGCGAAGAAUGUGAUCCAUCUAAUAGUUGCACAGAUGAGAAUAAAACAGUGGUUGCAUGUUUAAGAGUACCGGGAGAUGAAUCUCCAGAUCUUUCACUUUUCAUUCAGAACACGGGAAAAGGCCCUCUCACUGUUACAAUUUCUGCUCCUGAUUUUGUUCGGGUAGAGAAAACAAAAAUUCAACUCCAAGAGAAAGAAGAUAAAAAGGUGGUGAAGGUUUCUAUCACAAGGGAUGGAACUGACAACUUGAUUGUUCUAGAAACUGGAAAUGGUAAUUGCAGUCUCGACUUCAGAAAUCUGAUUCCCCACAAUUCUAUGAAAGAAACCGACUAUACCUCUAAGUCCACAUACAUCAACCUCCUUCAGCGAACUCCUGCUGCUGCAUUCAUAUUUUUGGCUGCACUGGUGAUGGCAUCAGCUUGGCUGUGUGUCAGCUUCCGCCGGAGGUAUUUUGCCAGCAGUGGCUCUAAAUAUCAAAAGCUAGACAUGGAGCUGCCAGUUUCAGGUGUGAGCAAGACAGAACCAAACUUGAACCAUGAAUGGGACAAUAGUUGGGGUGACAGUUGGGACGAUGAGGAGGCACCCACAACACCCUCAAUGCCUUUAACUCCAAGUGUUUCAUCGAAAGGCCUCGCCUCAAGACGGAUUAACAAGGACGGAUGGAAAGAUUAGUUGCCUUGAGGUUAAGAUUAGUUACUUUCAAGAUGAUGUCACGGCCAAGGGGAAAAGGAAAAAAGAGAAUAUUUCUUCUUACAAGAUCGCAAUCAACAAGAACAAGCAGUACUUUAUCUGGAGGCAGCUUGGAACCACAGGCCACUUUCCAUCCAUUUGGAUUAGAAUCCCAAUGGAAUAAUUUGUCCCAUAUUACUGUAAGGAACUUUAGGAAAUGAUCAAAUAUGUUCUUCCUUGCAAGAUUUAAAGGUUUUGUUAACAAAGCGUGUCAUCAUUUAUAGGAGUUAAAGAAGCCUAUAAAGCGCAAUAUUGAGAAGGUGUUUUGUUUUUUUAAAUGUAUGUCACUUGCUCAUAUCUUCAUCAGAUAAGAAAUUUAGUCUUGUGAUGGUUUUUGACUUUGAGGAA